GCCAGGUGUAGUUGCAUAGUCCUAUAAUUCCUACUAUCAGGGAGGCUCAGGAUGGUGGAUCUCUUAGGCUGGGGAGUUCCAUGCUUCAGUAGGCUAAAUUUAUCAGGUAUCCAUAUUAAGUUCAGCAUCAAUAUGGUGAGCCCCUGGAAAUGGGACACUGGGUUGUCUAAAGAGAGAUGAAAUGGUCCAGGCUGGAAAUGGGGCAGGUCAAAGCUCCCAUACCAUUAGUAGUGGGACAGGGCCUGUGAAUGGCUCUUGAACUUCCAGACUAGGUAAGAUAGAGAGACCCAGUCUCAA
ensembl:misc_RNA Metazoa_SRP Metazoan signal recognition particle RNA